AAGCGUUGAACUGUAGUGCCGGUCAAGCGGUGACGACAGGGAGCUUCUCUUAGGGGGUUGCACAGAUUCCACGACUUGACUCAGGCGGUGUGCCGCUGAAAGAAAAUGUGCUGC
rnacentral:sRNA from 12 species